rnacentral:rRNA from 1 species
UACGUAGGUCCCGAGCGUUGUCCGGAUUUAUUGGGCGUAAAGCGAGCGCAGGUGGUUUAAUAAGUCUGAUGUAAAAGGCAGUGGCUCAACCAUUGUGUGCAUUGGAAACUGUUAGACUUGAGUGCAGUAGAGGAGAGUGGAAUUCCAUGUGUAGCGGUGAAAUGCGUAGAUAUAUGGAGGAACACCGGUGGCGAAAGCGGCUCUCUGGCUGAUAACUGACGCUGAGGUGCGAGAGUGUGGGGAGCAAACAGG